AUCCCUUGUAACGAUUAUUCAAAGUUCAUUAUUGACCAUUUUGAUUUUUUUCUUCUUUUGGAUAAUUAAUUAAUUCAGUUGUUUCUUAAUUGUUUUUCUUCAAUUUAGUGAUUUUUGGAAAGCUUGGAGCCUAUGGGUCAUACUUGGAAUGAAUUAUAUUCUCUAACAAGUUCUCCUAGUUGAUUAAUUUAAUUAUUUUCUAAAAUGUUCCAAUCAUCAUUAACUCUAAUGUUUCUUGUUUUGUUGAUAUUGGUCAAUGUUAAUGGUCACUUACCUGUUCUCGAGGUAGAUUAGGCGAUUGUCCAGUUCGAGAGUCGUACAUUGCCCGAUGGAAGGGCAUAAAUCGGCCACCCUUACAGUCGCGAUCAUACAUUUCGUCGCACUUUUCAAUCUUAAUCUUACUCAUUUCAAUUGGACAACCUGAUUCACUGGCCAUUAGUAUUUCGGAUGAAACAACUUGACC